rnacentral:rRNA from 1 species
GAUGAACGCUGGCGGCGUGCCUAAUACAUGCAAGUCGAGCGAACAGACGAGGAGCUUGCUCCUCUGACGUUAGCGGCGGACGGGUGAGUAACACGUGGAUAACCUACCUAUAAGACUGGGAUAACUUCGGGAAACCGGAGCUAAUACCGGAUAAUAUAUUGAACCGCAUGGUUCAAUAGUGAAAGACGGUUUUGCUGUCACUUAUAGAUGGAUCCGCGCCGCAUUAGCUAGUUGGUAAGGUAACGGCUUACCAAGGCAACGAUGCGUAGCCGACCUGAGAGGGUGAUCGGCCACACUGGAACUGAGAAACGGUCCAGACUCCUACGGGAGGCAGCAGUAGGGAAUCUUCCGCGAUGGGCGAAAGCCUGACGGAGCAACGCCGCGUGAGUGAUGAAGGUCUUCGGAUCGUAAAACUCUGUUAUUAGGGAAGAACAAAUGUGUAAGUAACUAUGCACGUCUUGACGGUACCUAAUCAGAAAGCCACGGCUAACUACGUG